rnacentral:piRNA from 1 species
UAGGCUAACUCUAAAUGGACUUUGGCCCCAG